rnacentral:rRNA from 1 species
GACGAACGCUGGCGGCGUGCCUAAUACAUGCAAGUAGAACGCUGAAGGAGGAGCUUGCUUCUCCGGAUGAGUUGCGAACGGGUGAGUAACGCGUAGGUAACCUGCCUGGUAGCGGGGGAUAACUAUUGGAAACGAUAGCUAAUACCGCAUAACAGUAGAUGUUGCAUGACAUUUGCUUAAAAGGUGCAAUUGCAUCACUACCAGAUGGACCUGCGUUGUAUUAGCUAGUUGGUGAGGUAACGGCUCACCAAGGCGACGAUACAUAGCCGACCUGAGAGGGUGAUCAGCCACACUGGGACUGAGACACGGCCCAGACUCCUACGGGAGGCAGCAGUAGGGAAUCUUCGGCAAUGGACGGAAGUCUGACCGAGCAACGCCGCGUGAGUGAAGAAGGGUUUCGGAUCGUAAAGCUCUGUUGUAAGAGAAGAACGAGUGUGAGAGUGGAAAGUUCACACUGUGACGGUAUCUUACCAGAAAGGGACGGCUAACUACGUG